rnacentral:rRNA from 1 species
UGGCAGUGUAACGGACUACCAAGUCGACGAUGGUUAGCCGAUCUGAGAGGAUGACCGGCCACAUUGGAACUGAGACACGGUCCAGACUCCUACGGGAGGCAGCAGUAGGGAGUAUUUGGCAAUGGGGGAAACCCUGACCGAGCAACGCCGCGUGUGCGAUGGAGUCCCUCAGGGACGUGAAGCACUGUGGGGGGCCGCCAAACGGGCGGGCAGGAAAUGGCCCGUCCCCGAGGAGCCCCCUAGAAAGCGACUGCUAACCACGUGCCAGCAGCAGCGGUAAUACGUGGGUCGCAAGCGUUAUCCGGAAUCAUUGGGCGUAAAGAGUGAGCAGGCGGUCCGGGAAGUCCGCGGUGAAAUGCGGGGGCUCAACCCCCGCAGGCCGCGGAUACUUCCGGUCUGGGGUGCGGGAGAGGCGGACGGAACUCCGCGUGUAGCGGUGAAAUGCACUGAUACGCGGAAGAACACCGGUGGCGAAGGCGGUCCGCCAGACCGAUACCGACGCUCAGUCACGAAAGCGUGGGGAGCAAAUAGGAUUAGAUACCCUAGUAGUCCACGCCGUAAACGAUGGGGGCCAGGGCGCGGGGUCGACCCGCGUCCGAAGCAAACGCAUUAAGCCCCCCGCCUGGGUACUACGUUCGCAAGAAUAAAACUUAAAGGAAUUGGCGGGUGCCCGCACAAGCAGUGGAGCAUGCGGUUCAAUUCGUGGCUACACGUAGAACCUUACCAGGGUUUGACAUGCCGGCAAAGGCCCCGGAGACGGGGAGAUAGCUAUGCCGGACAAAGGUGGUGCAUGGCUGUCGUCAGCUCGUGUCGUGAGAUGUUAGGUCAAGUCCUCCAACGAGCGCGACCCCCGCCGCCAGUUGCCAUCAUCGAGUUGGGCACUCUGGCGGGACCGCCGGCGACAAGCCGGAGGAAGGCGGGGAUGACGUCAAGUCAUCAUGCCCCUUAUGUCUUGGGCUACACACGUACUACAAUGGUCGGAAACAGAGGGAAGCGAAGCCGCGAGGCAGAGCAAACCCCAGAAACCCGAUCUCAGUUCGGAUCGCAGGCUGCAACCCGCCUGCGUGAAG